GUGAUGCUAACUGUGAGCCUUGCUUAGUUUUUCUAAUUUGCCGCGGGGCUUUUUGGAGGUUGAAAUAAAAGCUAAAUCUUCUGUUCGUCAUGUCUAGUCCUAAGGUAGUAGAUUACCUAAAGACAGUGUAGUUACCUUCAUUUUCACUUUGCAGUUAAGCAGUGAGAAGCUUUUCCCUUCUGAACCGCAAGAAGCAGACAGAGAUCCUGUGGGUAUCAGUGCUCCUCCAGUGGUAAGAGCCAGAUGUCCAGUUGAGGCGAAACAAAUUGCCUGGGUUGCUCCUUCCGCAGCUCGGCUGCUUUCUGAAUUGUGCUGGCCAACUGUGGUGGCCACUUUCAUCUUCAGAUUCAUCUAGGAGCCAGUCUUUCUCACUAGCUUAAGGAAGAGCGUGCUCUGGCCAGCCUGGGUCUCUCGCCCAGCGUUCGAGGGAGCUGGAUGCCCUGUUUUGUAGUCCUGUCAUGAUGCAGUAAGGAGAAGGUGCUUCCCACUAGAAGAAGGGGCGCCGGGCAGACAGAUCAUAUGUAUGCUUUUUAAGGGCGUCGGGUCAUUUUUUUGGCCCACUUUUAUGAAAUUAAACCAAAAGUAAUGAAUAGGAGAUUAAUAUCUGGAGUUUUGGCAGAAAAAAAAUCGCACUCAUUGUCUGAUUAAUUUUAACUCUAAAUGAGCCUUUACUUGUAGUUCUUUCUUAUCUAAACAUGCUCAUUUAAGCUAAAACGUUUCACAUACUUCUUCCUGCUGCCCAUGGAAGUGAGGGGAAGACCUGCCUUCCAGCGUGACCGACCGUCAGGCCUGAUUUUAUAUACUUCUCUUGAGUUCCCGUCGUGGCACAGCAGAAACGCAUCCGACUAGGAACCAUGAGGUUGCCGGUUCAAUCCCUGGCCUUGCCCUGUGGGUUAAGGAUCCGGCGUUGCUAUGGCUGUGGUGUAUGCCAGCAGCUCCAGGUCCAAUUCGACCCCUAGCCUGGAAACCUCCAUAUGCUUCGGGUGCGGCCCUAAAAAGACAACAAAUAAAAUACAUACUUCUUUUGAGAGUUCUUUUAUGUAGUUUCUUUAGCUCUCUGAGACGGGGGGGGGGGGGGGGGGGUGUAUCCAACUCUCUUGAAGUUCCUGCCUCCCUACAGAUUGCUGAAACCCAUUUUUGUGAUUAGAUUCUUUCUUUCAUUUACUUGGACUCUCAAGCUCUGUCAUUGUCCAUAUGUUGUAUGAUUCAUCUCUGAAGCAAUUUUUUCCCCCUUGAAUUUCAGGCUAGUUUCCCAGUUCCUUUUCAUGACACUGAGUAUGUGGUGAUGGGGACAGUGCUGUUGAUGUGGUUGCGAUUUUCCUGCUCAAAAAGGAAAAUACUUUUUAUCACGGAGUGCUUCUAAUCUAAACUCAAUAGAUAGAUAUAGGUGAUACAUAAAUACCAUCAUGAAGCUGAACAAAUAACUUUGAAUACUGUGUGGUUCUUGUGUUGCUUCCAGUACCUGUCAGGAUAUAUUUUUAGUGUGAAAAUUAAGUGUUGAAAUAACUUCUGGUUUUGGACUGUCUGUAAAAAUGUAUUCUUUAUAGAGUGAGAACAGGCAUUUAAAGGGCAUCUGAUAGAAUCCUCCAGCCUUAACUGAGAUCCCCCCAGAACUACCUCGCCACUUCCUGCUGCUUAAACACAUGUAGUGAUGUUGUGGAAAUGUGUUGUUUUGGAUGUUUUAAUUUAAAAAUCCAUCCUUGUUUUGAACUGAAGUCUGCUAUCUUGUGAUCUUAUCCCCCUUUGCUCUGGAGAAGCACUUAGCACACAGAUGAGUUUUUGAGCUCUUGUUAAACAGUGCAUCUCUUGACAGAAUUAAGAAUGGUCAUCUUUAGGAGUUCCCACCGUGGCAUGGUGGAAACGAAUCCGACUGGGAACCAUGACGUUGCAGGUUCAAUCCCUGGCCCUGAUCAGUGGGUUGAGGAUCCAGGCUAGGAGUCUAAUUGGAGCUGUAGCCGCCGGCCUGCACCACAGCUCACAGCAAUGCCAGAUCGUUAACCCACUGAGUGAGGCCAGGGAUCGAACCCGCAACCUAACGGUUCCUAGUCGGAUUCGUUUCUGCCCUGCCAUGACGGAACUCCUGAAAUUAUCUUUGAUGAAGGACUGUUUUUAAAAAUUCUCUAUGCAUAGCAGACUGAUACUUUUAUAAAGUACAAUAAAAAUAAAUUAGUAGAAAAAUGAAAUUUUAGUAGAAAACAAGCUCAUUUUAAAAAUUAAAGUGAACAGACAUAAAAAUACUGUCAGGUUCCUCUGUAAGUUUCUGAAUGUGUGGUCUCAAAUUUAUUCUUUCCUGUUCAUGAGCUGCUUGUGCUUUGAGUACCUCUCCUGUGGAGGAGUAACUUCUUUUCUUUUUUUUUGGCUUUAGGGCUGCACCCGCGGCAUAUGGAGGUUCCCAGGCUAGGGGUUCAAUCAGAGCUGUAGCUGUGGGCCUACACCACAGCAACGUGGGAUCUGAGCCGUGUCUACAACCUACACCACAGCUCACAGCAAUGCCAGAUCCUUAACUCACUGAGCCAGGCCAGGGAUUGAACCCGCAACCUCGUGGGUGCUAGUCGAGUUCAUUAACCGCUGAGCCAUGAUGGGAACUCCCCAAGUAAUUUCUUUUUGAUCAUAUACCCCAUCAGUUCAGAAUUCUAGAAACUGCCAUGUGUUGCUUGCAUUUAAAUCGUAUGCAUGUACUUCUGUGCAGUUAUACAAUGUGCACUAUAAAUUAGAAAAUAACUAAAGAUUGUAUAUGCUAUUUUAAAUUUUUAAAAUUUAUUAUUAAUAGUAAAAUAGUUCACUAAAAUAUUGUUUAGUGAAAGCAGUGUAGUUGAAAAUGCUUUAAAACUUUUGAAAGCCUUGGUUCAUUCAUAAAACAAAUAAUUAGUGUAUUAAACCCAUGGCAUUAUACAAUUAAAAUAUAUACAAUUAACAUUUGUCAAUUAUACUUUAAUAAAGCUGGAAAAUUAAAUAAAAAAUAAUCUAAGCCCUCUUCAGGUGAUACUAGACCAUGAUAAAUACAAAAAUCCUUGCACACAUGGAAUCUUCUUUCUAGUGGAGGUUAACAUUUUGUGAUAUGGUCAUUGAACUCUGGUUUUAGGGUUGAGCUUGUUUUAUAUUUGUUUUGGUUGCUGUCGUUGUUGAAAUAAAUGCCUUCCUUCCAAGGUAUACAGAUAAAAAUGGGAUAAUUAUGGUAUUUGUGUUUCCUUAAUAAUGGUCUUCAGUUUUCAAUAUUAUCUAACAAUUCUGGACAGGUUUAAUGUGUUGUUUUGUUUUGGUUUGGGUUUUUUUGUUUUUUAGGGCCACACCCACGGCAUAUGGAGGUUCCCAUGCUAGGGGUCUAAUUGGAGCUGUAGCUGCCAGCCUACACCACAGUUACAGCAAUGCAGGAUCCGAGCCACGUCUGUGACCUAACCAGAGCUCAUGGCAAUGCCAGAUCCUUAACCCACUGAGAAAGGCCAGGGAUUGAACCUCUGUCCUCAUGGAUGGUAGUCAGAUUCGUUAACCACUGAGCCACAACAGGAACUCCCACGCAUGUGUGUAUUUUUAAUACAUUUUUUCAAAACCUAGUGAAACUGUGGAUUUAAACAGGUUAGGAAUUAUUAAUUUUCAAGGUGAUGUUCAGGUGAGAUUAUCUUUUUAAAGUGGGUUCGUUUACAUUUGUAACUGUAAAAGCUUGCCAACUCGCCGUGUAUCUGUUCACUAAUAGAUUACUUUAGUCUUACUGUCCUAAUUACUUUAGCUUUUAUAAGUCUUCCUGGGCAAUAGACUAGGAGUCCGCAAACAUGUUCUUCCUCUUCUUGAAGUAUAGCUGCAUUACAAUGUUGUGCUCUACAGCGCAGUGAUUUAUUUGUACAUAUGUAUUUUUAUAUUCAAUUAUGGUUCAUCACAAGACAUGGAAUAUAGUUCCGUGUGCCAUACAGUAGGACCUCGUUGUUUAUCCAUCCUCUCUGUAAUAGUUUGCAUCUCCCAAUCCUCCCCUCCCCAGCUUCUCCUCCUUGGUAACCACAAGUCUAUUCUCUGUAUCUGUCUGUCUUUGUUUCCUAGAUAUGUUGAUUUGUUGCAGUUAAGAUUCCACAUAUAAGUGAUAGCAUAUGGAUUUGUCUUUCUCUUUCUGAGUUACUUUGCUUAGUAUGAUAAUCUAGGUCUAUCCAUGUGCUGCUGCAAAUGGCGUUAUUCUUUUUUAUGGCUGAGUAAUAGUCCAAGUUGUGUAUAUUCACACACACACACACACACACACACAUCUUUAUCCAUUCAUCUGUUGAUGGACAUUUAGGUUGCCUCCAUGUCUUGGCUAUCCUAAGUAGUGCUGCAUUGAACUUUGGGUGCAUGUAUCUUUUCAAAUUACGGUUUUCUCUGGAUAUAUGCCCUGGAGUGGGAUUGCUGGGUCAUAUGUUUCUUAAUAUGAAACUCCAUUCUGAUCUUCAUAGUGGUUCUACCAGUUUACAUUGCCACCCACAGUGGAGGAGGGUUCCCCUUUCUCCACACCUUCCCCAGCGUUUGUUAUUUGUAGACUUAGUAAUCAUGGCCAUACCAACCAGUGUGAGGUGGUCCUUCACUGUAGUCUUGAUUUGCCUCUCACUAAUUAGAGAUAGAGAGCAUUUUUUUCCGUGUACCUCCUAUCCAUAUGUAUAUCUUCUUUGAAGAAAUGUGUAUUUUUUGAUUGGGUUGUUUUUUUGUUGUUGAAUUGUAUGAGAAGUUUGUAUAUUUUGGAAGUUAAGCCCUUGUGGGUAGCACUAUUUGCAACUAUUUCUCCCAGUCUGUAAGUCGUCUUUUUGUUUUGCUUAUGGGGUUUACUUUACUGUGCAAAAGCAUGUAAAUUUGAUUAGGUCCCAUUUGUUUGUCUUUGUUUUUAUUUUUUUUGCCUUGGGAGACUGACCUAAGAAAACGUCGGUACAAUUUAUGUCAGAAUGUUUUGCCUGUGUUUUUUUGUAGGAGUUUUACGGUGCUCUGUCUUACAUUUAAGUCUUUAAGCCAUAUUGAGUUAAAUUUAUGUAUGGUGUGAGAUGUGUUCAGACUUCAUUGAUUUGCAUGCAAUUGUCAGCAAACUUCUUUUUUUCUUUUUAGGGCUGCAUCUGCAGCAUAUGCAAGUUCCCAGGCCAGGGGUCAAAUCAGAACUGCAGCAGGGGCUUAUGCCACUGGCAACACUGAAUCUGCAACCUGCACCACAGCUUGUGGCAAUGCCCGAUCCUUAACCCAUUGAAUGAGGCCGAGGAUUGAACCUGCAUCCUCACAGAGACCACAUCGGGUCCUUAACUUCUUGAGCCACAACAGGAACUCCAGCAACCAUGUUCUUAAAGGGCCAGAUAUGAAAUGUUGUAGGCUUUGCAGGCCGGAUGGUCUCUGCACACUACUCACCUCAACUACUGUAGAUAGGAAGUAGCUGUAGACAGUACAUGAACAAUGUAGAGUGACUAUGUCCCAGGAAAACUUUAUUUACAAAAAGAGGCACAUUGCUGUGAACCUGAAACUGGUCUGAGAAAAUAAAGUCUGCUGAAAGGAAAGCCCAGAGUUCCCAUCGUGGCUCAGCAGUAACAAACCAGACUAGUAUCCCUGAGGCUGUGGCUGCAAUCUCUGGCCUCGAUCAGUGGGUUAAGGAUCCAGCGUUGCCAUGGUGUAGAUUGAAGAUGCGGCUCAGAUCUUGUGUUGCUGUGGCUGUGGUGUAGGCCAGCAGCUGCAGCUCCGAUUCUAUGCCCUAAAAAAGAAAGGAAGGAAGGAAGAAAUGAAGGAAGAAGGAAGAAAGAAACGAAGACAGAAGCAACAGCAUCAUUUUUGUAUUCUUCUCGACAGUGAUGUAUAACCUAAAUCCGAUCAUCAGACAGAACUUAAUUAAGGGACAUUCUGCAAGAUAAUUGGCCAGUAAACUUCAGAAUUAUCAAGUUCAUAAGGACAAAGAAAGCAUGAAAAUUAUUCUAGGUUGAAGGAGACCAAAGAGAUAUGACAACUAAAUGCAACAUGUGGUUCUAACUAGUCAGAAUCUUGAACAAGUCUGAACAUUCUGUGGUAGAAAUGUGUUAUCACCUAUUUCCCAAUGGUGAUGGCUGCAUUAUUUGUUGUAGGAGAUUGUCCUUGUUGGAAAUAAACACAAAGGUGUCUGGGUGAGAUGGAGCAUCACUGUCAGCAGCUUACUCUCAAAGGACACAGGGGAAAAAUGGUUUUGUAUUGUACUUGCAACUUAUUCUAUAAGUUUGAGACAUUGUUUCAGCAUUCUUAAAACAUGUAUCAUUAACAGCAAGUAAAUUUGUUGCAGAAAAACAAAAACAGGCAGCCUAGUUUGACAACCCCCUACAUACUUUGAUGCUCUCCUGGAUAUUCUUGUUGUUACUGUU
rnacentral:lncRNA from 1 species